rnacentral:rRNA from 1 species
UACGGAGGGGGCGAGCGUUAUUCGGAAUUAUUGGGCGUAAAGGGCGCGUAGGCGGCUGUACAAGUCAAAGGUGAAAUCCCUCGGCUCAACUGAGGAACUGCCUUUGAAACUGUACGGCUUGAGGCCGGGAGGGGGUAGCGGAAUUCCCAGUGUAGCGGUGAAAUGCGUAGAGAUGUGGAGGAACACCGAUGGCGAAGGCAGCCCCCUGGGUCAAGAUUGACGCUCAUGCACGAAAGCGUGGGGAGCAAACAGG